AUUUAUCAUUAUUGGCUUCUAUGCCAUUAUAUUUUCUUCUGUUCUAAAACUUAUUCACUUGUAUUAGAUAUCUGUUAAUAAUUUUUUUAAAAAAGAGAGGUUACAGAAAUAAAGAUGUGUACAUUUUAUAAUGUUUAUUUAAAACUUACUCCGAGAAUAAACAUAUUCUCAAAAAAGAAAUGAAUAAUAAAAACAAAUAUAUGGUUUUACAAUUUUUAACCUUAUUUAUUUUUAGCAGUGUACCAAAACUAAAAUUUGACAUGGCUGUCAAAAGUCACUGCCAUUUUACAUUUACUUUACAAUAAAAUAUUUUCCAUGUUGAAAACAAACAUUUAAUUAUGUAAAACCUUUACCAUUAAUAUCCACUUGUGAAUUUAUUUAAAAUAAACAUUAUCAUACCUUAAAACAAAAAUCCAUGUCACAACACUUGGAACUUCAAAACUUUCCAUUCGAGAUUGGAGGGAGGGAAGAUAUUCAAAUCAUUACUAAACUGGAUAAAAUCGAUACCAAAUAAUAUCAUCCGGGCAUUUCUUACUGGAACAUGAACAAAUCCAUAUAUCAUAAAAAUAGCAACAGCUACAUAAAGGACAGGAACCAGGAAACCACGCACUUCUUUUUUAUACCACCGGCAAAUCUAACUGCAUAACAAUAGAACUGUUUCACAAUAA